GGCAGAGGUCGGACGUGAGCAGCCAGGCACAUUAUGUGAUCAGGGGGAAGAAGGGCUUCAUCUAAAGCAGAAGAGCUAAGAAAAUUGGAGACAACAUUAAAAGAAGAAUACAUGAAACACAUAAAAGAAGAAAAGCUUUUGAUGUAAAAGAGCAAGUUUGAGGAAAUGGAAAGUCACGCGGUCCAGGACAGUUCAGUGGACAGCAACGUCCAGGAGACGCAGCGCUAUGUCUUCUUUGCCUUUGUGCUUUGGCGACUUUUUCGAGAACUGG